AAACCUGCUUCUGCCAGACUGAGGGGGUAGCAAGAUCAAGGUCCUCCACUGAGAAUGCUCUGCUGUCCUGUCAGAUCAAGCAUCCAAUUGUACUCAGAUAUUAAGAGAUGCUCAGUACAUGCUACCAGCUAUCAAGUUUUAUAGGAGCUCAAGAUCAUCCCAGAUGUCUUUUUUUUUUGUUUUGUUCCUCAGAGGUGGCAACCCCUGGUUUCAUGCCAUAUUCGUCUGAAGAACGAAUACAAAUAAACAACCGAACAACUGAUGAAAAGCAUCCAGUCUUGAUUUGAAGACAUGAGAAGAUGGACAAUCCAACACUUCUUUUGAUAAUUUGUUCCAACAGUUAAUGUCUGAUGGAAGAGAAUCCUCACAGCCAACGUGAGAUAUCAGACUCAUGCUAACAUGGAUCUAGAGGUAAGUUCUAAUGCCACCUCCUCUGAUUUGAAUCAUGGAAAGUGAUGCCAGAGGCAUAUGUUCCUCACCAGUUCAUUCAAGAUCAUAUCUAAGAAGCAAACUUAUGGAGGGUGAAGGGCUGCAUGCUAGGAAUAGAUAAAAAGCCUCAAGAUGUCAGAAGCAAAUUGCUACUGCCAAGUCAGCAACACUUGGAGAGAUACUGAGAAAUGGACCAUAUUCAGGUCACCACUGGUUUCCCUUAUGGCAACAUUUAAGAAUGUUCAAAGACCCCAUUAGGUGUCUUUAAAAAAAAAUCUUAAGGGUUUAUAGCUAUGAUACCAGAUAAAGACCUGUAAUAUCACCUUGAAUUGAACUGAAGGUUUUAUAUAUCCUGAGAGACCAGCUAUGGUGAACUGUCCAAAGGAGCUGGAGAAUUCAUCUAACCACCUGCUCCACUGGUUAAAUAAAUAAUAAUAAUAAAAGACUCUUUUUCUUGUACCCAAGUGAUCUCUUAGUUACUCUAUAGUAACUACUUUUCACAGAGAAUGUAUCCGAGUUAAAAUGUCUGUAAUGAGUUAAAGUGUCUCAUUCAAAAAUUUCCACUAUAUGCCCAUUUAAAAACAAAAACAAAACAACAGAGGUUAGGAGUGCUGGGUAGAGCUGGUGGAAAAUUUUCAAUUAAAAUAUCUUCAUCAAAAUGUGACAUGAAGAUAUUGGUUUCAGUUGUUUGUAUAGAAAGCUUUCUGAGUUCCACUGCUAUCUAGUCACUAACCCAAGGUGACUGGAAAGAAAAAAUCUAAAACGAGUCUUUUUUGCUCUGACACAAUUCUCUUUUACAAAAGCAUGUGAAAGGUUUUGUUUUCAUUCCCGUGAGAAACAACAAAUAAAAUUUCAUAACCUUGAAAGUUGUUGUCAAAUGGAAUUGUCAUCCUAUGGUCAGCACUGGUACUGCGGUGGGCAAAUUCAUUAAAUUAUUUCAGCAUAGUACUAGUUCUAACAAAUUGUUUUCACUAUGUUGGAAAAGUGGCUAAAAAAAGCAUACAAGCUGGAAACAAAGAUUUUUCCUAUAACCCUGGAUUUGUAGUAGCACAUGAAAUACAAGAUACAAAGCUUAUUGUUUUAGCAUUUGGAUAGGUAAGAGUUACAAAUCAAGAUGAGGGUUACGGGUUACCUGUGUUUACACAUGUUGGGGAAUUUUCAUAGAAAUUAGAAACAACUGAGCUGUUAAAAGCAUAUUUUGAGGGUUUAUGCAUGUAAUAAGAAAAAGGUUUGGCUGUAAAUCAUCAACAUCAGGGAUGGCAAUUUUUUAUUUAAUUGACAUUUCAGUAAUUCAAUAAUUGUUCAAACAUCUAACUUUAGAAUUACUGAUGGUAGAACUGACAGUUCUGUAACUUUUGAUUGAUAUAAAGUUUGACAAAUUGAUAAAAACUUGUAUUAAGGAACCAUAGUUCAAUUGUGCUACACAAGAUCACCUCCACAGAAUAAAGAAUUAGAAUACAUUUACUAUUUGAUAAGAAGACUGAUUUAUUAUGAUAGGAUUUAUUACUUCUUGAUAAGUUUUAACAUCAUAAAUAAAAUUCAU